AGCAGCCGCGGUAAUUCCAGCUCCAAUAGCGUAUAUUAAAGUUGCUGCAGUUAAAAAGCUCGUAGUUGAAUUUCGGGACUAAUAUGUCGGUCGUGCCUCGGUACGUACUGGCUUAUUGGUUUCUCCUUUCUGAAGAACCAUGAUGUCAUUUAUUUGGUGUCGUGGGGAAUCAGGACUGUUACUUUGAAAAAAUUAGAGUGUUUAAAGCAGGCUCACGCUUGAAUACAUUAGCAUGGAAUAAUGAAAUAGGACGUUUGAUUCUAUUUUGUUGGUUUCUAGGAUCGACGUAAUGAUUAAUAGGGAUAGUUGGGGGCAUUAGUAUUCAAUUGUCAGAGGUGAAAUUCUUGGAUUUAUUGAAGACUAACUACUGCGAAAGCAUUUGCCAAGGAUGUUUUCAUUAAUCAAGAACGAAAGUUAGGGGAUCGAAGACGAUCAGAUACCGUCGUAGUCUUAACCAUAAACUAUGCCGACUAGGGAUCGGAUGAUGUUAAUUUUUAAUGACUCAUUCGGCGCCUUAACC
rnacentral:rRNA from 1 species